UUUCAAGCGGGGCGGGAUAUCCCGCCAGUCCGCUAGCCCGCCCCGCAAAAUAACGCCCGCGCGGCGUCGCAUCCCGCCCCGCUAAGUAUGUGCAGGAUGGAGCGGUAAAACCCGCUCGGCCCGCUGAAAGCCCGCUCAGCCCGCUACCGCCCGCGAGAUGCCCUUCGGUCGAAGCCAGUCAGAGUCCCAGUCGCUCCCCCGUCCCCGCCCUCCCGCCGCCGCACCUCCCUCUCCCCGGACGCCGCCGCACCUCCAUCUCCUCGGCCGCCGCCGAACGUCCCUCUCCCCCAGCCGCCGCCCUCCCCUCCCUCGUUCCCGAUGCCCCAACCUCGCACUUUCUGAUGGUGGGGUCGACGGCGGCGCCGCCGCCAUCUUCACAUCCAGACCGCCCUGCUGGAAUCGUGGACGGAGAAGCUUUUCCUCCUCCGCCUGACGGUCCUCCGUCACCAACAGCAACUGGCGUUUUGUUGCCGUCCUCUGUACAAAUCAGUGCCCAAGACCAUCUCCAACUCCAAGAUAUGUGACACAAGAUCCUCCACUGUUCGAUGUUUGAUCAAGAUCUGAUGACCUGUUCGAUGGAUUUGGCUUGUAACCGGUUCCUCGGAGCUUCAGUGAGAGUCAAUUGAUGUGUAGUUCAGUUUGAUAUUAAUAAAUGCUUACAUGAUACGAAGUGCAUAAUUGAAGGAUUGAAGAAAUUUUAGCAAUGGCAGCCUAUUCUAGAUGAUAUAUCUGUGGUUAUUAUUAUUACAAGGAAACAAGGGUAAAAUCUUUGAGUUAUCUUCACAGGUAGAAAGCAUAGAGAGCAUAGAGGACCAAGUCUCAUUUGUUAUCAUUUAGGGAUUAUGUUCAGUAAUAUAUAUACAACUUGUAAUACAUGUGAUGCUUUGAUGCAAGCCUACCACUUGUAAUAUCUACGGAGACUGAUGCACCACUAGAGCUAAUAAUUUCUUGAUGUCAAUUGGUUAUUUUUUCUAAUUACUACAUUGAUCAACAGAUCGACUUAUAAGAGUCAAGGUGGAGGAGGUUUCUGAAGAUGGCAAUGUUCAGACUCAAGGUGGGGUUGGGGGUGCGCUGCAAGGAAGGAAGAAAGGAGCAACCAUGACACCCGGCAAAUGUUCUAAGGAUGGCAAUGUUCAGACUCAAGGUGUUUCAUUACCGUCAACUUCCUAGUUAAGGUUCAAUGGCUGGAAUUGGAACAGGGGGGGAAUUUUCUUUAUCUCCCUAGUUAAGGUUCCUUGUUAUUGGUGACAGGAACUUGAAGAAGAGAACCAUGGAUGACAACCUUCUGGAGUGCCUUCAAUCUGUGAACAUUUGUUUGGUCAAAUAAAUUCAGUUGUGAACUUACAGCCUGUAAUACUGAUGCUUUUCAUGAGUCUCAGUUGAACAUUUGUUUGAUCAAUUAAAUUGUAACUUGAUGAUUCAGUAGUAAAGUACUGCUAAGCAUUUUGUUUAA